rnacentral:rRNA from 1 species
GAGAGAGAGCUUGCUUUCUCGAGCGAGUGGCGAACGGGUGAGUAACGCGUGAGGAACCUGCCUCAAAGAGGGGGACAACAGUUGGAAACGACUGCUAAUACCGCAUAAGCCCACGGCUCGGCAUCGAGCAGAGGGAAAAGGAGCAAUCCGCUUUGAGAUGGCCUCGCGUCCGAUUAGCUAGUUGGUGAGGUAAUGGCCCACCAAGGCGACGAUCGGUAGCCGGACUGAGAGGUUGAACGGCCACAUUGGGACUGAGACACGGCCCAGACUCCUACGGGAGGCAGCAGUGGGGAAUAUUGCACAAUGGGGGAAACCCUGAUGCAGCGACGCCGCGUGGAGGAAGAAGGUCUUCGGAUUGUAAACUCCUGUUGUUGAGGAAGAUAAUGACGGUACUCAACAAGGAAGUGACGGCUAACUACGUGCCAGCAGCCGCGGUAAAACGUAGGUCACAAGCGUUGUCCGGAAUUACUGGGUGUAAAGGGAGCGCAGGCGGGAAGACAAGUUGGAAGUGAAAUCCAUGGGCUCAACCCAUGAACUGCUUUCAAAACUGUUUUUCUUGAGUAGUGCAGAGGUACGCGGAAUUCCCGGUGUAGCGGUGGAUGCGUAGAUAUCGGGAGGAACACCAGUGGCGAAGCGCUACUGGGCACCAACUGACGCU